rnacentral:sRNA from 1 species
AAAUAGCCCCGAUAGUCCCGAAGCUUCGGGAGACAUCCUUUUUUUCUUAUUUUUUGUUCAACAAGAAAAAAAGAUAGAACGAAUAGCGGGACAGGUU